UGACACAUGCAAGUAGCGGAAGCCUUCGGGACUCGAGGCGAACGGGUGUAACAGUAGCAACCGCCCCAGCUUGGGAAACCCGGAAACGGGGCUUACCGAUUGACCUCGAUCGAUGGUGGUGUGGAAGUUUUCGCUUGGGAUGGGCCGCGGCCUUCAGCUUGUGGGGGGUGUGGCCUACAAGGCGACGAGGGUAGCCGCCUGAGAGCGACCGGCCAACUGGGAUGAGACAGGCCCGACCCUACGGGAGGCGCAGUGGGGAAUAUUGCACAUGGGCGGAACCUGAUGCAGCGACGCCGCGUGAGGGAUGACGGCCUGGGUUUAACUCUUUCAGCAGGGACGAAGGUAAGUACGGUACUGCAAAGAAGGCCGCCAACUACGUGCCAGCACCCGGUAGACUAGGCGCGAGCGUUGUCCGGAUUAUUGGGCGAAAGAGUCGUAGGCGGCUUGUCGCGCGACUGUGAAAACCCGCAUUCCUGGUGUAGCGGUGAAAUGCGCAGAUAUCAGGAGGAACACCGGUGGCGAAGGCGGGCCUGGGCCGAACUGACGCUGAGAGCGAAAGCGUGGGGACGACAGAUUAGAUACCUGGUAGUCCACGCUGUAAACUUGGCGCUAGUGUGGGGGGCCCUCCGGUUCCCUGUGCCGACUAACGAUAAGCGCCCCGCCUGGGGAGUACGCCGCAAGUAAAAUAAAGGAAUUGAGGGGGCCCGCACAAGCGGCGGAGCUGCGGAUAAUUCGAUGCAACGCGACUGAGAACCUUACGGUUUGACAUGGCCGCAAAACUGUCAAGAGGCAGGUCCUUCGGGGCGGUCACAGGUGGUGCAUGGCUGUGUCAGCUCGUGUCGUGAGAUGUUGGGUUAAGUCCCGCAACAGCGCAACCCGUUCGAUGUUGUGGCGGGGACUCAUGAAGACUGCGGGGGAAGGGGGUGAGUCAAGCAUCAUGCCAGGGUUCAGCAUGCUACAUGGCCGGACAAUGGCUGCGAUACGUGGGUGGAGCGAAUCCAAUCGGGCUGCGUGAAGUCGGAGUCGCUGUAUCGCAAUCAGCAACGCUGCGGUGAAACGUUCCGGGCCUUGUACACACCGCCCGUCACGUCACAAAGUCGGCAACACCGAAGCGGUGGCCCAACCCUUGUGGAGGGAGCCG
rnacentral:rRNA from 1 species